rnacentral:rRNA from 1 species
CCUACGGGUGGCAGCAGUCGAGAAUCAUUCACAAUGGGGGAAACCCUGAUGGUGCGACGCCGCGUGGGUGAAGGAGCGUUUCGGCGCGUAAAGCUCUAUCGGCAGGGAAGAAGAAGGACGGUACCUGACUAAGAAGCCCCGGUUAACUACGUGCCAGCAGCCGCGGUAAUACGUAGGGGGCAAGCGUUAUCCGGGUUUACUGGGUGUAAAGGGGGCGCAGACGGCAGCGCAAGCCAGGAGUGAAAGCCCGGGGCCCAACCCCGGGACUGCUCUUGGAACUGCGCGGCUGGAGUGCAGGAGGGGCAGGCGGAAUUCCUGGUGUAGCGGUGAAAUGCGUAGAUAUCAGGAGGAACACCGGUGGCGAAGGCGGCCUGCUGGACUGCGACUGACGUUGAGGCCCGAAAGCGUGGGGAGCAAACAGGAUUAGAUACCCGGGUAGUC